GGAAGAUAAACCCAUUUUUGUAAGCUGCCUCAUUACAAUGGAAUUUUUCCAAAAAUGUGAACAUUUAGUAAUUACGCUACGUCAGAAUUAUUACAAUGGUCGGGUCUUGCAUUCAUAAGUUAUUCGAUUUCCAUACACCCAGCUGCACAUUUUGCAAGACUACCACGUUUCAAAGUUACUCACUGUUACUUAUGAUGGCUUACAAUAAGGAUAAAUUCAAAAUGAUACACUAAAUGGAUAUUAAUUAUGUUCAAAAUAUAUUAUAAUAUACGACGCUGUCACUAUCACUGUA